ensembl:lncRNA GBA1LP glucosylceramidase beta 1 like, pseudogene
GACCCAUCCACAUUGGGAAGCCAGAAUUACUUGCAGGAGUAACCUAGUGCCUAUAGCUAUGGCAGGUACCUGCAUCCUUGUUUUUGUUUAGUGGAUCCUCUAUCCUUCAGAGACUCUGGAACCCCUGUGCUCUUCUCCUCAUCUAGUGACCCUGAGGUGAUGGAGUUUUCAAGUCCUUCCAGAGAGGAAUGUCCCAAGCCUUCGGGUAGGGUAAGCAUCAUGGCUGGCAGCCUCACAGGAUUGCUUCUACUUCAGGCAGUGUCGUGGGCAUCAGAUGAGUGCCUUCAGCCGCUACAAGAGCAGAAGCAGUGGGCAUUGGAUGGAGCUGAGUACAGGACCAUACAGGCUAAUUGCACCGGCACAGGAAUCGGAUAUAACAUCAUCUGGGUACCCAUGGCCAGCUGUGACUUCUCCAUCCGCACCUACACCUAUGCAGACACCCCUGAUGAUUUCCAGUUGCACAACUUCAGCCUCCCAGAGGAAGAUACCAAGCUCAAGAUACCCCUGAUUCACCGAGCCCUGCAGUUGGCCCAGCGUCCCGUUUCACUCCUUGCCAGCCCCUGGACAUCACCCACUCGGCUCAAGACCAGGGGAGCGGGGAAUGGGAAGGGGCCACUCAAGGGACAGCCCAGAGACAUCUACCACCAGACCUGGGCCAGAUACAUUGUGAAGUUCCUGGAUGCCUAUGCUGAGCACAAGUUACAGUUCUGGGCAGUGACAGCUGAAAAUGAGCCUUCUGCUGGGCUGUUGAGUGGAUACCCCUUCCAGUGCCUGGGCUUCACCCCUGAACAUCAGCGAGACUUCAUUGCCCGUGACCUAGGUCCUACCCUUGCCAACGGUACUCACCACAAUGUCCGCCUACUCAUGCUGGAUGACCAACGCUUGCUGCUGCCCCACUGGGCAAAGGUGGUACUGACAGACCCAGAAGCAGCUAAAGGCCUGUGUGGGUUCCAAGUUCUGGGAGCAGAGUGUGCGGCUAGGCUCCUGGGAUCGAGGGAUGCAGUACAGCCACAGCAUCAUCACAAACCUCCUGUACCAUGUGGUCGGCUGGACCGACUGGAACCCAUCAUUGUAGACAUCACCAAGCACACGUUUUACAAACAGCCCAUGUUCUACCACCUUGGCCACUUCAGCAAGUUCAUUCCUGAGGGCUCCCAGAGAGUGGGGCUGGUUGCCAGUCAGAAGAACGACCCGGACGCAGUGGCACUGAUGCAUCCCGAUGGCUCUGCUGUUGUGGUCGUGCUAAACCGCUCCUCUAAGGAUGUGCCUCUUACCAUCAAGGAUCCUGCUGUGGGCUUCCUGGAGACAAUCUCACCUGGCUACUCCAUUCACACCUACCUGUGGCGUCGCCAGUGAUGGAGCAGAUACUCAAGGAGGCACUGGGCUCAGCCUGGGCAUUAAAGGGACAGAGUCAGCUCACACGCUGUCUGUGACUAAAGAGGGCACAGCAGGGCCAGUGUGAGCUUACAGCGACGUAAGCCCAGGGGCAAUGGUUUGGGUGACUCACUUUCCCCUCUAGGUGGUGCCAGGGGCUGGAGGCCCCUAGAAAAAGAUCAGUAAGCCCCAGUGUCCCCCCAGCCCCCAUGCUUAUGUGAACAUGCGCUGUGUGCUGCUUGCUUUGGAAACUGGGCCUGGGUCCAGGCCUAGGGUGAGCUCACUGUCCGUACAAACACAAGAUCAGGGCUGAGGGUAAGGAAAAGAAGAGACUAGGAAAGCUGGGCCCAAAACUGGAGACUGUUUGUCUUUCCUGGAGAUGCAGAACUGGGCCCGUGGAGCAGCAGUGUCAGCAUCAGGGCGGAAGCCUUAAAGCAGCAGCGGGUGUGCCCAGGCACCCAGAUGAUUCCUAUGGCACCAGCCAGGAAAAAUGGCAGCUCUUAAAGGAGAAAAUGUUUGAGCCCA